GAAGAACGCUGGCGGCGUGCCUAAUACAUGCAAGUCGAACGCUUCUUUCCUCCCGAGUGCUUGCACUCAAUUGGAAAGAGGAGCGGCGGACGGGUGAGUAACACGUGGGUAACCUACCCAUCAGAGGGGGAUGACACUUGGAAACAGGUGCUAAUACCGCAUAACAGUUUAUGCCGCAUGGCAUAAGAGUGAAAGGCGCUUUCGGGUGUCGCUGAUGGAUGGACCCGCGGUGCAUUAGCUAGUUGGUGAGGUAACGGCUCACCAAGGCCACGAUGCAUAGCCGACCUGAGAGGGUGAUCGGCCACACUGGGACUGAGACACGGCCCAGACUCCUACGGGAGGCAGCAGUAGGGAAUCUUCGGCAAUGGACGAAAGUCUGACCGAGCAACGCCGCGUGAGUGAAGAAGGUUUUCGGAUCGUAAAACUCUGUUGUUAGAGAAGAACAAGGACGUUAGUAACUGAACGUCCCCUGACGGUAUCUAACCAGAAAGCCACGGCUAACUACGUG
rnacentral:rRNA from 1 species